rnacentral:rRNA from 3 species
UGAGUUUGAUCCUGGCUCAGGAUGAACGCUAGCUACAGGCUUAACACAUGCAAGUCGAGGGACCGGCGCACGGGUGAGUAACGCGUAUCCAACCUGCCCACCACUUGGGGAUAACCUUGCGAAAGUAAGACUAAUACCCAAUGAUUAAAGUCGGUGAUGGAUGGGGAUGCGUCUGAUUAGCUUGUUGGCGGGGUAACGGCCCACCAAGGCAACGAUCAGUAGGGGUUCUGAGAGGAAGGUCCCCCACAUUGGAACUGAGACACGGUCCAAACUCCUACGGGAGGCAGCAGUGAGGAAUAUUGGUCAAUGGACGAGAGUCUGAACCAGCCAAGUAGCGUGCAGGAUGACGGCCUAUGGGUUGUAAACUGCUUUUAUAAGGGAAUAUGCAUGUACCUUAUGAAUAAGGACCGGCUAAUUCCGUGCCAGCAGCCGCGGUAAUACGGAAGGUCCGGGCGUUAUCCGGAUUUAUUGGGUUUAAAGGGAGCGUAGGCCGGAGAUUAAGCGUGUUGUGAAAUGUAGACGCUCAACNUCUGCACUGCAGCGCGAACUGGUUUCCUUGAGUACGCACAAAGUGGGCGGAAUUCGUGGUGUAGCGGUGAAAUGCUUAGAUAUCACGAAGAACUCCGAUUGCGAAGGCAGCUCACUGGAGCGACUGACGCUGAAGCUCGAAAGUGCGGGUAUCGAACAGGAUUAGAUACCCUGGUAGUCCGCACGGUAAACGAUGGAUGCCCGCUGUUGGUCGGUCAGCGGCCAAGCGAAAGCAUUAAGCAUCCCACCUGGGGAGUACGCCGGCAACGGUGAAACUCAAAGGAAUUGACGGGGGCCCGCACAAGCGGAGGAACAUGUGGUUUAAUUCGAUGAUACGCGAGGAACCUUACCCGGGCUUGAAUUGUGAAGGUGCUGCAUGGAUGUCGUCAGCUCGUGCCGUGAGGUGUCGGCUUAAGUGCCAUAACGAGCGCAACCCCUCUCCUUAGUUGCCAUCAGCUGGGCACUCUGGGGACACUGCCACCGUAAGGUGGAGGAAGGUGGGGAUGACGUCAAAUCAGCACGGCCCUUACGUCCGGGGCUACACACGUGUUACAAUGGCAGGCAGAGAGACGGUCCCUUGCAAAAUGGAUCAAAUCCUUCCUGUCUCAGUUCGGAUGGGGUCUGCAACCCGACCCCAGAAGCUGGAUUCGCUAGUAAUCGCGCAUCAGCCAUGGCGCGGUGAAUACGUCCCGGGCCUUGUACACACCGCCCGUCAAGCCAUGAAAGCCGGGGGCGCCUAAAGUCCGUGCGGCCUAGGGCGAAACUGGUAAUUGGGGCUAAGUCGUAACAAGGUAGCCGU